rnacentral:rRNA from 1 species
AGUGAACGCUGGCGGUAGGCCUAACACAUGCAAGUCGAACGGCAGCACAGUAAGAGCUUGCUCUUACGGGUGGCGAGUGGCGGACGGGUGAGGAAUACAUCGGAAUCUACUUUUUCGUGGGGGAUAACGUAGGGAAACUUACGCUAAUACCGCAUACGACCUACGGGUGAAAGCAGGGGAUCUUCGGACCUUGCGCGAUUGAAUGAGCCGAUGUCGGAUUAGCUAGUUGGCGGGGUAAAGGCCCACCAAGGCGACGAUCCGUAGCUGGUCUGAGAGGAUGAUCAGCCACACUGGAACUGAGACACGGUCCAGACUCCAACGGGAGGCACCAGUGGGGAAUAUUGGACAAUGGGCGCAAGCCUGAUCCAGCCAUACCGCGUGGGUGAAGAAGGCCUUCGGGUUGUAAAGCCCUUUUGUUGGGAAAGAAAAGCAGCAGGUUAAUACCCCGCUGUUCUGACGGUACCCAAAGAAUAAGCACCGGCUAACUUCGUG